UACUUAAAAAAUUUGUACUCUAAUUAUUUUUAAUAUUGGGCUAUCUUAUUUUUAAUUUAAUUUUUUAGGUGAAAUUAGUUUAUUUUUAUAUGUGUGCCCCAUAUUAUAAGAUUUAUUUAAUGAACCAGACUAGUACCUGGGUAAUUGAAAUUUAUUAAAACAGAAGUAAAGUUGUAUUUAAACUGUAAGAAUAUUGGCAGGUUUUUAAAUUAUCUUUGGAGGUUGAGUAGUAAUUGAGAGCCCUCAUUAGCAGCUUUUUUUUUUAUCACAUGUAUGAUCAUUUAUUUUAUUCUUAAGGGUUGUAAUUUUAAUUUUUUUUUAUAAAAAUAGAUAAAUACUUGGUAUAUAAAAAAGAUUUAAUUUGACCUACAUUAAAUUAUUUUUUGGAUAUUUAAUUAGCUUUAAAUUGAAAUUGUAAAAGACAGUAAAUCUUAUUUUAUGAUAGAUUGAAGUUUAUUUAAAAAC
rnacentral:rRNA from 1 species